rnacentral:rRNA from 1 species
UGGGGAAUAUUGGACAAUGGGCGCAAGCCUGAUCCAGCAAUACCGCGUGAGUGAUGAAGGUCUUCGGAUUGUAAAGCUCUUUUAGUGGAGAAGAUAAUGACGGUAUCCACAGAAAAAGCACCGGCAAACUUCGUGCCAGCAGCCGCGGUAAUACGAAGGGUGCUAGCGUUGUUCGGAAUCAUUGGGCGUAAAGCGUACGUAGGCGGUUUAGUAAGUCUGUCGUGAAAUACCCGAGCUUAACUUGGGAAUUGCGAUAGAAACUGCUUUGCUGGAGUAUAGUGGGGGAUAGUGGAAUUCCUAGUGUAGGGGUGAAAUCCGUAGAGAUUAGGAGGAACAUCAGUGGCGAAGGCGACUAUCUACGCUAUUACUGACGCUAAGGUACGAAAGCGUGGGGAGCAAA